rnacentral:rRNA from 1 species
UACGUAGGGGGCAAGCGUUGUCCGGAAUCAUUGGGCGUAAAGCGCGUGUAGGCGGCUCGGUAAGUCUGCUGUGAAAGUCCAGGGCUCAACCCUGGGAUGCCGGUGGAUACUGUCGAGCUCGAGUCCGGAAGAGGCGAGUGGAAUUCCUGGUGUAGCGGUGAAAUGCGCAGAUAUCAGGAGGAACACCAAUUGCGAAGGCAGCUCGCUGGGACGUAACUGACGCUGAGACGCGAAAGCGUGGGGAGCAAACAGG